rnacentral:rRNA from 1 species
AAUGGCUCAUUAAAUCAGUUAUCGUUUAUUUGAUAGUACUUUACUACUUGGAUAACCGUGGUAAUUCUAGAGCUAAUACAUGCUGAAAACCCCAACUUCGGAAGGGGUGUAUUUAUUAGAUAAAAAACCAAUGCCUUUCGGGGCUCUUUGGUGAUUCAUGAUAACUUUUCAGAUCGCAUGGCCUUGCGCCGGCGACGGUUCAUUCAAAUUUCUGCCCUAUCAACUUUCGAUGGUAAGGUAUUGGCUUACCAUGGUUUCAACGGGUAACGGGGAAUUAGGGUUCGAUUCCGGAGAGGGAGCCUGAGAAACGGCUACCACAUCCAAGGAAGGCAGCAGGCGCGCAAAUUACCCAAUCCCGACACGGGGAGGUAGUGACAAUAAAUACUGAUACAGGGCUCUUUUGGGUCUUGUAAUUGGAAUGAGUACAAUUUAAACCUCUUAACGAGGAACAAUUGGAGGGCAAGUCUGGUGCCAGCAGCCGCGGUAAUUCCAGCUCCAAUAGCGUAUAUUAAAGUUGUUGCAGUUAAAAAGCUCGUAGUUGAACCUUGGGCCUGGCUGGCAGGUCCGCCUCACCGCGAGUACUUGUCCGGCCGGGCCUUUUUUCUGGAGAACCUCAUGCCCUUCACUGGGUGUGCUGGGGACCAGAACUUUUACUUUGAAAAAAUUAGAGUGUUCAAAGCAGGCCUUUGCUCGAAUACGUUAGCAUGGAAUAAUAGAAUAGGACGUGCGGUCCUAUUUUGUUGGUUUCUAGGACCGCCGUAAUGAUUAAUAGGGACAGUCGGGGGCAUC